rnacentral:rRNA from 1 species
AGCAGCCGCGGUAAUUCCAGCUCCAAUAGCGUAUAUUAAGGUUGUUGCAGUUAAAAAGCUCGUAGUUGAAUUUCGGGAUCAGUACGCUGGUCGUGCCUUUGGUAUGUACUGGUGUCACUGAUUCCUCCCUUCUGAAGAACCGUUAUGCCAUUUAUUUGGUGUGGCGGGGAAUCAGGACUGUUACUUUGAAAAAAUUAGAGUGUUUAAAGCAGGCUCGCGCUUGAAUACAUUAGCAUGGAAUAAUGAAAUAGGACGUUUGAUUCUAUUUUGUUGGUUUCUAGGAUCGACGUAAUGAUUAAUAGGGAUAGUUGGGGGCAUUAGUGUUCAAUUGUCAGAGGUGAAAUUCUUGGAUUUAUUGAAGACUAACUACUGCGAAAGCAUUUGCCAAGGAUGUUUUCAUUAAUCAAGAACGAAAGUUAGGGGAUCGAAGACGAUCAGAUACCGUCGUAGUCUUAACCAUAAACUAUGCCGACUAGGGAUCGGAUGAUGUUAAUUUUUAAAUGUACUCAU